rnacentral:lncRNA from 1 species
CAAAUUGGCCCCAAGCAUGGAAAACAAACAUACGUGUGGAGACAACCUGGGCGUGACUGCGGCUCUGGAGAAGAACAGCUUUCUGCUGACUGAAGAGGAAGGAGGAAAACAAGAGCCUUGCAACAACCUCCUAUCACUGUUGUGCAAUCCAGAUUCAAGCCUUUGGUGGCUCUGGGAAAGUGACAGGAGCUCUGCUUGACACCAUUAACCUUGACGGUCAGGGCUACUUCUGCUCACGUGCAUGUUAAAGGAAUGACUGUAUUUUCAGAGGAUUUGAAUAAUUGGACAUUUGUUUUAAUAUAGAUCAUUAAGUGCAUGCCACAUAUUAGCUGUUAUUUCAUUAAUUAUUCGUCACAUAUAAUCUUAAUUUAAAAAGUUCUAGUUAUCCAGUCAUCCAAGGAUGCUGUCACGCAACUUGUGACAUAAUUUCAUAAUCAUUUUAUGUUACAAAAAUCUGUCACUGCUUCUUGGAAGAUGGUGUCACCUGCCCAUUUUUUCCCUUCAUCCUACACGGUCCCGUUUUUCAGCACAAGAAUUCACUUGGUCUUUCAGAGAAAGAGGCCAAGAAUAUGACCUAGGUUAAAACUAACACCACAAAGGGCAGACAAGCACUUGUGCUGGUGCACAAAGGAACUGGCAGAACAGGGAGUGCACAGGAGUUUCUGGAGGAGAAUUCAUCUUCUGAUGGUCUGUGUAAACUGGAACUGAUUGAGAAAGAAGAUUGUAAGAUGACUGUUACCCUUGCCUGAGGAAGAAAUGGUGCACAGCCAAAGCAACAAGUUUGUGACUGCCCUAGAUGGCAAACGUGUUUUAAGUUCUCCUAGAUGUGGGUGCCUCCUCUUGCAAGGCUGAAGAAAACCUCCUAGGUGCCCUUGGGAGGCCUGUGGUACCAGUAGUCUCCACCACAGCACCAUAUGCUGAACACGCAGGUAGGAGUGACAGCGUGGUCUCAUAUAAAGACACCAGGCAGUGGUUCUCCAUCCCCACUGGAAAAGCUGGCCUACCUUCAUCAAAAGAAAAAGGUUUAAACCAAAUGACCACUUUGUAUUAACUUUGAAGUUAAGCUUUCUGUUCAGUUUAAGAAAUUUCUGCCUGUAUCCCUAGUGCUGUCACCAUGCUGCAUUUCCUUGUGUGUUUACGACCCAGACUAAUUGCUUGGACUGGUAGCCAAUCUGUGCCACUGCAGGGAGAGGAAAACUACUGUUUUUAAAAUGCAGGUUAC